UACUACCGAAGCUACGGCAUCAGUAAUGAUGGGUAGGGGAGCUUCCCAUACGGGUUGAAGCAUGACCGUAAGGACAUGUGGACAGUAUGGGAGUGAGAAUGUUGGCAUGAGUAGCGAGAUGUGGGUGAGAAUCCCACAGGCCGUAAACCCAAGGUUUCCAGGGGAAGGUUCGUCCGCCCUGGGUUAGUCGGGACCUAAGCUGAGGC
rnacentral:rRNA from 1 species